CAUUUUCUUGGAGAGCUAAUAGCUUUGGGGCUUGCUUUGAAAUCAAAUAUUUGCCCAAAGCGGUAGGCAAGCACAUGGCUGUUAGGUUUGCCAGACAGUUAGUCACGGUAACUUGCUCAGCCUGGUUACCUAGAGGGUGAGCCUGUAGCAGAAUGUGAAUGAUACAGGGUUCAGCCAAUCAAAGCCUCGCGCACAGUUACUGAGUGAGGAGGGGCUCAGGUGCCAACCAGAGGCGAUAACACACCAGGACCCUGGAGUCACUGGAAUGGAGUUUGGAGAAAUUCCAGAUAUGACAUCCAUCUAGGCUCCCUAAUACAAUGGCAAGCAAAAGAUUCUUUGAAAACUGGCAAACUGCAAUUCCUCACUAUGCAACUUCCU
ensembl:lncRNA